rnacentral:rRNA from 1 species
AUUGAACGCUGGCGGCAUGCCUUACACAUGCAAGUCGAACGCGAAAGGGGGCAACCCUGAGUAGAGUGGCGAACGGGUGAGUAAUGUAUCGGAACGUACCCAGUAGUGGGGGAUAGCCCGGCGAAAGCCGGAUUAAUACCGCAUACGACCUACGGGUGAAAGCGGGGGAUCGCAAGACCUCGCGCUAUUGGAGCGGCCGAUAUCGGAUUAGCUAGUUGGUGGGGUAAAAGCCUACCAAGGCUACGAUCCGUAGCAGGUUUGAGAGAACGACCUGCCACACUGGGACUGAGACACGGCCCAGACUCCUACGGGAGGCAGCAGUGGGGAAUUUUGGACAAUGGGCGAAAGCCUGAUCCAGCAAUGCCGCGUGAGUGAUGAAGGCCCUAGGGUUGUAAAGCUCUUUUACCAGGGAUGAUAAUGACAGUACCUGGAGAAUAAGCUCCGGCUAACUCCGUGCCAGCAGCCGCGGUAAU